UCUCGGCGAAUGUGUCGCAAACGCGUCUUGAGCUUUCUUUCAAAUUACUGAAUGUGUCGCUAUCUGCAACAUCAGGUACACAGUUACAACAUUUGUAAUUGUCCUUACCAUACCGAGGAGCAAAAGUUUAUCAAAUCUGAUUAAAAGAUGUUAUAUAAAUGCACGUGCGGUCACACAGUUAGAGAAGGAAGACACUGACAUCGUGACUGUUAACAAAAAACUGCGGAAAAAAAAACAAGAACAGAAAAUGAGAAAACUAGCCCAAGUAUUACUAGCAUUAUGCUUCAUGAUUCAGACGAGUGUUGUGUCUACUAAAGACUUAAAAGUAAUGAAAAAAUGGAUACCAUACAGGGAAUCCAACCGCACGAUCAGUACGAAAUGGAACGAUGUUAAAAAGGAUGUACGACUGGUUCCGAAUGAAAUAUGCGCAUUCGUUUGCGACCCAGAUUGCAUCGAGUACAGUUGUCCUGAUGGCGUAUGUUGUGAACCUGGUUCGCCUGAAAGCUCAUGCUGCCCUCUCGAUCAUCCAUUAUGUGUCUCUGUGGGUUGCUGCACAGCGGGUCACCCUAAAGUAUGCGGCCAGUAUUGUUGCAAGGAAGAUGAGACCUGCUGUUCACUCGGCUGUUGUUAAAGUUCGACCAUCUACCGGGGAACGGUAACCGGAAAAUAUUGCCGAAUGACAUUGAACAAUCCGACAAUUUAUUUGCUCUUGAUAAUUAAUAUGUGAUUUAAAGACAGUUGCUUAACUUAAAUACGUGAUUUGUGUAUUUGUUACUAGAUAUUAGUAUAUUUAAUGAACAAUCUUUCAAUUUAGUAACACAGUGACUUAAAAUGACAAUGUCUUAUUUUCUUUAUUUAAUUGAAUACAAAAUAAACAUUGUAUAAUUAUUUUUUUACUUCCUGAUUUAAGAUAUCUAACUAUAAAAAUGUAUGCCACGUAUCCAUUUUAUCGUUAACGUAUUAAUAUGAUAUGCUCUUGGCAUUAAUUUUCCAUCAUAUGUAACAUGCGUUUUUUAAGAACGUCAGUUUCUAAACACUAUAUCGUACAUGUUGAAACUUUCUAUAGUACGUGUUGAUUUAGAAAUGACCAAUUAAAUUUUGCAGUUUGUUGGUUAUUUGAACAGAUCUAAAAAAAAAUUAAAAUCGAUAUUACGCUAUUGCUUAUUUGACAGCGAAAUUUACUGGAAAAUUAGGGAAAUCUGCCAAAAAUUUCCCGUUCAAUUUAAAGCAACAGAAAACAAAAAAGUGACGAUUUAAUAUAUGAAUAAAAAAGCCAGUGAAUACUUUUG